CUGUGUUUUUAACGCUACCAACCACGCAAUAAGCCAGUACAACCCAUCGCUAAUCUGCCCACAGUUAAAAAAACGGUUGGACCGCACGACCGCACAACCGCCUCCUCCUCCUGUGCCAUUCGCCUCCCGCACGAUCUCCUCCUCCUCCUCCUCCCACGCCGUUCGUCUCCCUUCACCGCCGUUAGCCACACGAGCCUCACUGUCGCGCCCUUCGCCGCCUCCCACAGUCGUGCCCUUCGCCGCCGCCUCACACCGCCGAAGCCAUGGGAGCCGCCACCAGGGCCGCGGGGUCGCCGCCGCGGGUUGCCGCCUACCCAGCCACGGGAGUCGCCCCGCCGCGCCCUUCGCCACCUCCCGCAGCUACUCGAGGAUGUGUUCCCACAGUUGCCGUCGGUGUCAAGCUUGGAGGGGGCGAUCCCUCUUGGCCCCCAUCUGCCUCGCCCUCGCGGCCCGCGUCCCUGCGGUCCUCUGGUCCUGCUCACAGGCCCCGCAUCUCCCCUUGAGAUGAGACGAACCGCCCUCGCCUAGGGUUUUUGCCGCCAUCGGAGAGAGGCGGGGAACAGAACCAGAGCGAGAUGGCCGGUAGGCUACUUGGGAAACUCCUCAUCAUGGGCGGCAGGGCCAUGGUACAGUCGUAUAGGCCUAUGCCAAGCCAUCAUGAUUUCUAGGAGCACGGAGCAGAGGAGCGGAGGCCUGGGAUGCAGCACGGGGCAGAGGAGCGAUAGUGCGGCGGUUGCACAGGUGGAAUGUUCGUGAGGACAAAGCGGUAUGAAGAAGUAACUCUACGAGAGAACAUCAUGGAUAUGGAGAUGGAGCACCCAUGCUUUUCAUGGAUUUUGAUGAACGGCAUGUCAAUGUCAAUCUAGAUGAUGAUGACUUCUUCUGCACCGAGCAUAGUCAUCAAGCUCCAAGAUCCAUAGAGCAGACAGGUUAGAAGAAAUAAGAUUGACCUUGUGCAGAAAAGAAAAUGAAUUGUGCUAAGUUGCAAUGAUGUUGAUGUGAGAAAUUAUUCAUGACAAGUAUCUCAAAUACCCCAAAUGUUAGUG